GAAAAAAAAAAUACUUCAUCAGCUAAUCACUUAAAACCCAAAAACACCAAAAUGUUCCCAAUCCGCUAAUCCCACCCAUCAAAAUCAGCGCUGUUCAACUUCAUCUCUCUAUCUCUCUCUCUCCUCCCCUCUUCAGUUGGGUUCUACUUCUCUUCUAUAUAUACCACGCCACUUUGAACUUCAUAAAUCACUCCAACUUUUAUACAUUUUUCUCUCAAACUAUACAUUUCACGACCGAAUAUUCGAUUUUUAUCUUCUUCAUAAGCAUCAUAGUAUUCCCCUCUUUUUUCCGAUUUCUAGGGUUUGGGCUGUUUUUUUUUUUUCAUUAUCGAUUUGAGGUGAAGAUUCCAGAAUAUAUUCAGUCUGCUGAUGAAUUACGAGCCUUUUCCUUCUGGAAAUUCUGUUGAAGAAUGCCGUAGAUACUGAUGAAGAUCUUCCUCCACCUGAAAAUAAAAUUCAGAUAGCGCCGCACAUCUCAAGAAACGGAAAUUCAAUGCUAGGUUCAGGACCCUCUCGCAGAGUACAGGGAGACAUGGAGUACCAAAUCCAUCAUCUUGAAAAGGAAGCCUAUUGUGCUGUCCUUCGAGCUUUUAAAGCCCAAUCUGAUGCAAUUUCAUGGGACAAAGAAGGUCUGAUAACAGAACUCAGAAAAGAGUUGAGAGUUUCAGAUGAUGAACACAGAGAGCUUCUUGUGAGGGUCAAUAAUGAUGAGAUAAUGUGCCGUAUAAGGGAAUGGAGACAGGCUGGGGGUCAUCAGGCUCUGAGUACGUCACAUCCUAUCAAUGAUGUUUCUAGUCCAACUCCUGCUUCCCGCAAGAAACAAAGAACAACACAGUCUCUUCCUACCAAUGUGCCACCUCCUUCAGCUGGAGCUCUUGGAGGCCGAGGCAGAAAACCCAGACAGUUCCCAUAUAGUAACCAUGCUGCACAUGAAACUGCUACGCCUGGAACUGGUGAAGAGUUGGUGGGGAGGAAAGUAUUGACUAGAUGGCCUGACGACAACCAUUUCUAUGAGGCUAUUGUUUCUCGAUACAAUGCAUCUGAUGGACGACAUGAAUUAGUUUAUGGUAUUCAUUCACCAGAAGAAUCUUUUGAGUGGGUUAAUCUCAUGGAGAUACCUGCUGAGGAUAUCCGAUGGGUGAAUGAGGAACCUGUAUUAUCUCAUAGAGCAGGUCCUGGAGAUAAGAGAUCCAUGAACCAUAUUGGUGCAGUUCCUGUUGCUGGAAGAAAGCAAUAUAGGAGUGAGAUUCAGAAUGGUGCUGGAAAUAUGACAGAUGAUAUCGAAAUUCUUCAUACUGAUACAUUAAUUAAGGAGCAGGUGGAAAAGGUGGUUGCUGCAACUAAUCCUGAUCGUCUUGAAAUUGAGAAGGCAAAAAAAAUGCUGAAGGAACACGAGCAAGCACUCAUUGAUGCAAUCUCAAGGCUUACAUAUGUAUCAGAUGGUGAUAGUGGUAACAGACUCGUGUAUAAUGUUUGAUGAAAAGCCUGUAUAACUUCAGUAAUCCGGAUAUAACAUGGAAUGGAAGAGCUGUAGGCUGCUUUCACAAUAAGUGUUUAACCCCCACCUCAAAUGCCGAAAAGUUAAAUAAAAGCAACUAAAGGAUGGAGGAGAUCAGCAAUACUAACAUAGAAUUCGAACUUCAAUUGCAUCGGAAUCUGGGAAUUCGCAAAGGCGUACAACACAUUCACAAAGCUAAGGUGGAGUGCAAGAGACAAGCGCAAACGAGGCUUGAUCUGUGAACUGUAGUGCCACAAAUUUUAUGAUUCUUCCUCAAUUGAGAUGGUCUUGGUUCUCUUAAAGUGUUUCAGAACAGAUGAACUGGGAAGUUUUUUCCGAACUGACUAAUUAGUUCUUUGUAAAAGUAGGCUUCAUGUGAAAAUUAAUAAUAAUUAUUUUUGGAAUGUGUA